rnacentral:lncRNA from 1 species
CCAAGGUUUCUUUUGGAUCUUCAUGCACUGACCCACAGCAUAUGGGUUUAUCCAGAGGCGAGCAGAGGUGACUUUCCUGGGCUCUUUGAGUGAAGACUCACUUUCCUGGGUGACUUUCCUCAUACCGUCAUACCCUCAUACCCUCAUUUCCUCAUCCCCUGGGAGAAAUGUGCUUCUGAUCUACCUACCAACAUCCCAAGGGCUUCCAGUGGCUUAGCCACAGCCAGCUCUGGGCUCUCCUUUGUGUGGUCACUUGGCACCCCAUCUCCAGCUGAAAAGGGGAGCAAUAUGGGUAAUUCCCACACCGGGGACAAAGCAGGAACAGGAUAUAUUUGUCCCAGAACACCCACACGAGAACCUAAGGCCAGGAAGGGUGAUACGGUCCAGCCAAAGGAUGGGAAAACUCCAAGGCACGCCGGUCACAAGCCAAAAUGGGGUCUGCCUUAUCCAAACUCUUCUAUCAGCAUCCCUACACCCUUUGCAUCCCAGAGGAGGUGACGGCAUUGGGGAAUCUCCUAAGCUGCUCAAAGAAGAUGGAGCAAAUGCAUCAUUCCCUGCUGGGCUCACAGCGAUAUCUCCCAAGAAACGCGCCGGCAAAUAUCUUCCUGACACCUAGAGUUCUCUACUGUCUGCACCAGGAUAAACCACGGCUUCAAGGCUCAAGGAUGGGAGUUUGCUCUUUGUUGGGUUUUUAUGCUGGGUUUCACGGUAGAAACUUCAAAUCUCUCUCUUGCGGCUUCUGGGACUUGGUAUUUACUGCUGUUACCAAACCAUUGAGCAGCAACUCCCCUAAAGGUGAUGGGAAAAAAGGUGACGUGCAAGGAAUCCCAGAGAAUAUUUUACGCAGUGAUAAACAGAAUAAGGAUGGGAAGAGGGGAUUGGAUCUGCCCAACAGCCAUCGUUGGAUGCCCACACUAGGGACAGGGUUUCUCUCUCUCUGCUCUCAGCCAUAUGCACCAUUCCCUGAAGGGCUCUCAGUGAUAUCUCCCAGGUAACACAGCCUGGGAAAACA